CCACUAUACAUCUGCAUUGAAAUAAAGAAAUGCUUUUUUACGCUGAAACAGAAACAAUGACUUCUCAGGUUGUAGAGGAGCAGAAGCAGAAGCAGAAUUCACUCGGUCACCCAAGGGGGAGAUGAUGAUGUCCUGGGUCCAUGGUGCAGAUACAACUGCCAGCUUCACGUCUAUUUGGAAGACAAAAAACCAAUGGAGUGGGUGAAGUCAGCCAGAGAGCACAUGUAGAACAAAGGAGAAGGUGGCAUUUUGUAUUCCGCAUUUGAAAGACAAAGAAAGGUAGAGGACAGCUAGGAAGAGGAGCAGGAGUGGCCAGGAAGAUCGGAGCAAAAUGAAGACAUCACGACAUCAUGGACACCGAAAAAUAAAGUGUUUAAAAAAUAUUAAUUUGGGGAAAUA
rnacentral:lncRNA from 13 species